GUCUUGGUGGUAUAGUGGUAGCACGCUCAUCUGGUAAGGGUGAAACGCGAGUUCAACUCCCGCGUGAGGUU